UUGAUCUCUCCUUCCCUCUUGUCUUCGAUUUUGAUCUUUCUUCCCUAAUUGAGCGAUUUUGAUCAGAUGAUGGAAAACAACGAAAACCCUAGCUCAAGUUGUCAUCAAAUCAAAGGCCAACGCACUUCACAGAAACAAUACAAAAAAUUUCAAGCGCGAUAAAGGUAUCAGAAAACUAGCUAGGGUUUAGAAGAAGGAAACUUACCUCAACGGGCAAGGAAGACCAGAUACACAGAGUUCCGCCGUGCCGAGGGUUCCGCCGUGCCGUGCCGAGGCGAGCGAGCGAGCGAGCGCAAGGGUUCCGCCGUGCGCAAAGGAAGACCGGAUACCAAAGGCGCAAUCUCGCGAGCGCAAGGGUUCCGCCGUGCCGAGGCUUCCAGAGACACAGAGUUCUCACUCGGUCAGCACGAUCUUUUAUAUCAUAGGAAUUGAGCCGUGAGGUCGGCAUCUGAUGGUUGGAGUACUGAUCUGAGCCACACAAUUAAUCGAGCCGUGCUUGGGUUUGAGCUCGGCGAUUGUGAACUGAAUGUGAAUUUGUGAAAAGGUUCGGGUUCGGUGAGGCUCCUCGGCUUGGUUCAACCGGAUCGAUUACUUGGUUGAUUCGGAUG
rnacentral:lncRNA from 1 species